GCCAAACAGACCUCUAAAAGGAGGGUUUCUGUUUGUUUUACGUUUCCUCGGGAGGCCACAAAAGUGUAGCAGCUGCCAAGAAUCCUGUGGCAGCUCAGCAUGAGGAAAAUCCCAGUUCCCAAGCUGUCCAGCAGUUAGGGCCGUUAGGACCGUCCUUUCCAGGGAGGGGUCAACCACAGGUCGCCUGGACAUUGCCAGCGGAUGCAAGUGUCAGAUAGGAGGCUGGUCCUUCUGGUCCUGACAGUGUGUGAUGACCCUCUGCAUCAAAAGUCCUCUCCCCCCCCCCCUUUACUGGCCUGGGACCUUACUUAAUGACCCACACACACCCCUCAUCUAUGGCCUGGGAUCUUACUUAAUGACCCACACACACCCCUCAUCUAUGGCCUGGGAUCUUACUUAAUGACCCCCACACACACCUCAUCUAUGGCCUGGGACCUUAAUGAGUAAUAACCUAUUUUGUCUCCCCUGAAAGACAAGUUUUCUGAUAAGUGUGUGGACUAGAUGAGAUAUUGUAUGGUAUCUAUACUAGAUGAGAGUUAUGGGGGGGGGGGGCUCUAAGGAGAGGGCAGUUGAGCCGAGAAUCAACAGUUGACAGGUCAGUCAUGUAAAGAGCUGGAUGUGUAAGGAUCUAGUAAGAGGGGACAGCAUAGCUGCAAAGCGGAAAUGAAUUUGGUGAAUAGGAUCAGGAAGGAGCCCAGUAUGGCUGGAGAAGGACAAUCAAGAAAAAGAGGGAAGGAUACGAGAACAGAGGUCAGCAGGGGCAGAUCGCAUUAGCCAUUACAGUUCAUGCUGUGGGUUUGGGCCUUUCUUCUUAAUGCUUUGGGAAGCUCUUAAAGGAUUACGAAUGAAGGCAUCCUUGCUGCGAUAUGAUUUGAUUUUUAAGACGAUCUCUCUGGCUGUUUGUGGAGAAGGAUUGUAAAAGAGGAAGCAGAGACUAAGAAACUUCCUUGCAGCAGUCCAGGUGAGAGAUAAGUCCAGGUGGUGUAGCUGGGUUGUGGGGGUAAGUGGAGAUGAACUGAAUCAGGGACUUUGAAGCUAGAAGCACAAGAACUUGCUGAUGGCUUGGAUAUGGGAUAUGGGAUAUGAGGGAAGGGGAAGAAUCAAGGAUAAGACCUAGCUCUUUGGCCCGAGACACUGGGUGCAUACUGGAGCCCCCAUUAGAAUAUAUCCAGAAUCUGGCCCUACCUCGUUGGCUUGUCCACUUUUCUCCUGACCCACAUCCCCUUCAUGCAGGCUGGCUGGGCCUGAAGACCCGGAGGAGACCCCAAGGGACCAGCCAAGAAGAUGCUUGGCUUUGAGGAGGAUAGAAAUCUAAUGUAGCUGAGAGGAAGUGAGAGCAGUUUAUUAACGAUGUAUUGUGUGUAGAUACGGACAUAGCAGCCAGGAGACUCAGGAAGGAAAGAGUGAAUCUCCUCUUUGCUUAGGGCCUAGGGGUUUUUAUUGUGGAUGGUGGUCUGGUAUUCCUGCAUCCAGGAACAAAGGCAAGUGUUUAGGUAUCUUUCAUAAGUUAUUUACACCCUGGAGCUAGGGGUCUUAGUGAGUCAGUGGUCUUGGAAAGUGUUCGUGACAUCCCAUCCAGUCUCUCCUUAGAUGUUAUCUAUUGUGCUGGAAGACUCCAAAGAAAUCAUUAAACUCUUGACCUUUACAAGGAGUGUGGUGUCUCUCCGAUCAGUCGGGGACCCUCCCAAAUGUGGGGUGACCAGUCGGGUGGAAGCCAGAGAUGUGGUGCAGGCGGAGAAAGGGAUCCACCCAAGGCAAAACAAAAGAGAUAAAAGUUGAUUGAAUAUGCUGCAAGCAAGGGAGCCGUGGGCAGGACAGUAAAGGAGAAAUUUUCUGCCACUAGGCAGUGUGUGUGGGGAAGGUUGUAUUUAAAGGGGGAAGGUGAGGAGGUAUGGGGACGUAUGGGAUUUCCCCCUUUUUGGUAACUGUGCCUGGUUGUAAGUAGCCCAUUGGUUAGUUAGGGCCUGUGGCUAUCAUGAGGUGGAUCACCUCUGGUCAGCCAGGGGGAUGUUGUGGGCUGUUUUUACAUUGGGUUGCUCAAGCCUCUUGCCCAGAAGUGGCUUCUACAAGGAGGACAUUGAUUAUCUGUUCUAUAUGCAUGUGUAAUGCAGGGGUGCCAGUCCUAGCAAGAAUAGAAGGAGGAAAUACAGUGGAAAAAGUAGUUUUUCAGGGACUCCCUUCAGUUUCCCGGUCUCACCCCGGAUCCAUUAUCUCUCACCUGAACCAUUGCUGGACAUGGUGUCCCUACAUUCAGCCUCCUCCAGUUUCUUCACAGCUGUUCAGGGAAGAGAAACCAUCUGCCAAGGAAGAGCCUCAUACUGGAGCCUCCUGAAACAGCGGUCCCUAGGGCAGAGAAGGACAGACAAACUAUGAAACAUGUGGCUUCAUGAACAUGACAAGGUGUAUGCAUCACAGUCCAAAAGCCAGAGUCAUGCUUAAUGAGAAAACCUAAGUUUUUCCCAUUAAAGUUAAUAUUCCACAAGGAUGGCCCCUGUGACUAUUUUUAUUUAAUAUUAUUUUGGAAGUACUAGCCUACUUAAUUACAGAAGAGAAAGGAAUGAGGUAAAAAAAAAAAAAAAACUGGAAAAGAGGUAAAAUUAUCUUUAUUCAUGAAAUAAUAGCCUACCUAGAAAAUCCAAGGACAUCAACUGCAAAACUGAUAGAAAUAAGACAUUUUAGCAAAGUAGGUACAAGUUAAUAUGUAAAAAGCCAGUGAACAACAGCCAAUUAGAAAAUAUAGGGGAAUAAAAUAUAUCAUUUACAAUAGCUACAGCAAAGUUAACUAACCAAGAGUAAUCUUAAUAAAUUUAGGUGCCCAAUACUAAAAUGCUAGCAAAGAACACAAAAAAGAGGCUUGAAUAAAUGGAAAGGCAUAUUCUAUUUUGGGUUAGAAAGACUCACUGUCAUAAAGAUGUCAGUUCUCCAUAAAUUAAUCUAUAAAUUUAACACAAACUAAUAAAAAUACCAACAGACUACAUAAUCUGAAUACAAAGCUCAUAUGGAAAUUUCUGCAUCAGAGUAGCCAUGAACAUUCUGAAAGAGGUUGGUGAGAGAAAUAGUUCUACCAGAUAUAAAAGCUACAAUAAUUAAAAUAGUAAAAUCCAGGGAACACGUACAUACACAGGCAAUUCGAUCCAGAGAACCAAAUAGAGAAUCCAGAAAUAGACUCGAGACAUUUAAAAUGUAAGUGUAUGAUAAAGAUGGAAUUGUCUAUCAGCAGGGAAAAAUGGAUUAUACAAUAAGUGGUAUCGAAACAAUCGUGUGACUGCCUGAAAAAAAACGUCGUUUCUCUGCCUUGGUUUUUACACUAAAAUAAAUCCAUAUGAAUCAAUUGUGUUUAAAUAAAUGUAAAAGGAUACAACCAAAGAUGUAUAAUGCCAUAGCAGAGAAAGCAUUUGUCAGAAUAGCACAGAAUUUCCCAAAGCAUAAAAAAGAAAGACCAAUUCUGUCAACAUGAAAAUCUAUAAUGUCUGCAGAGCAAAAAAAAACCAACCAUAAACCAAGACAAAUGGCAUGCAGGGGGAAAUAUCUGCAACUCCUAUCAUAGACAAAGGGACUAAUUUGCUUAAUAUAUACAAAAUCCCCUCAAAUCAAUAUGACAAAGAACAAAAAUCCAAUAAGAGAACGGGAUGGUUAACAUCAAAGGAAAGAUAAAUGGCUCUUAGACAUGAAAAAAUAGUCAACCUCACAAGAAAAUUGAAACUACAUUUAUAUAUAAUUUUUAAGCUACAGAUUGGCAAAAAAUCCAGACAUCUGAUAAUAUUCCCUUGGCAUGGUUGCGGGGAAAUAGGCCCUCCUAUUUGUUACUGGCAGAAGUGUAAAUUGUUGAUAUUUGUCAAAAUUUAAAAUGCACAUAAUUUCUGAUCCAAUAUACCUGCACCCAUACAAGAUAAUGUACAAAGUUAUCAACUAUAACAUUGUUUAGAGUAGCAGAGGUUUACACAUAACUCAAACAUCUAUCACUAGGAGGCUUGUUAAAUAAAUUCUGGCCCAUCCAUACAAUGGAAUAUCAUACAGCCAAGCUGAAGAGCUGUCAGAAAAAGCUUUGUGGGCCAUGAUUAAACUCAUGAAGAGCUAUUAAAGAAUUUUUAUCCAGACAUAUAAGAUCUGGAUUUGAGAAAGAUCUCUCUGGCCUAGCAUGGAACAUGGAUUGCAAGAGUAAAACUAUGGACAGGGAGUUCAAUCAGUGGCCUAAAUUAGGUGGUCACCAAAGACAAGUCCUAUAGAAUGUAGACUGGUUAGGGCUUGGGAAUAGACUGUGUGUAGAGGUGCAGGAGACAAGACACUGGUGAUACCCCGGUCUUUAGAUUUGGUGAUAGAUGGAGAGUGAUGGUUAUACAAUGAGAUAGGGAGUGCAAGUGAAGAAGUUGGUUUGAGUGAGAAGGAAAGAUGAGUUUUAUUUGGAUGAAUUGAGCUAGAGGUCCCAGUGGGCAACCAACCUGUUGACACAUUCAAUUGAGUGUUUGGAUAUACAGCUCUAUGACUCACGAGAGAGACUGGAAUUACAGAUAAAUUUGGGAGUCAUGAUCAUAGAGGAGGCCAUAGAGGAUGAAGUCAUUUGGGGACAUCUUAUGGCAUGAGGAAAGGAGAGAGGCCAGGUAUUGAAGCAACCCAAAGAGUACGCUGGCUGAAGACAAUGAGCUGCUAGAGGAGCUACAGGAGUAUAGGGACAUAGGAGGGAAACCAAAUAUCACACGGCCGAAGUCAAGGGAAGAAUGUGGUGGCAUUUCAGUGGUGUCUCUUACUUGAUAAUGAUACCCUUGACAUAAACUGAGUUUUUUUCUUUGUUUCCUCCCUGUCUGUUCCAUCCCUAUUUUCAAAGAGUCCAAGGAUAGAUAUCUUGCACAUAAUACAUAGCUCUGUGAACAAUUAAGGGCAUGAAUGAGUAAAUCCAAUCAAGGCUGGUUCUUACACUACUUGGGUUCAAACCUUUGUUGCUGCUCUCCUUAUUGGGUUUCCGUGCAUCCAUUGUGUAAUGCCUUCACAUUGCCACAGCUGCCUCUCUAAAGCACAGACCUGGAACCACCACUACUUGCUUUGAAAAUCAUCAGCUUGGCUCCACCCUAGAACCCCAGGAUCAUGUCCUGAGCCAAAGGCAGACACUCAACCACUGAGCCACCCAGGUGCCCCCAAGGACCUAAUUCUAUUUAUUGUAGCACUCCAGUGCUUUGCAUAUGGUCUGUACCUUACAUCCACAGUAAGAUCCUUGGGAUCUUCCUUUAUUCACUUUUAUACCCUCAGUGCCUAGUUAGAGCACCGCUCCGCAGUAGGUGCUCAAUAAAUGUUUGACUCAAUAAAUACUCAUUUAAUUUACUCUCAGAAGCCUCCAGAGGGGCCAAUGGCUUUGGCAAACUGCUUUUUGGUUUUUUGUUUUUUUGUAUGUGCUUCCUGCCAGUUCUGAGAGCCUGUGUUUGCAGGGCAGUGACAAGUGUGUUUUGUAAAUGUGGCACUACUGAGGGACUGUGAAGUCGGCCAGCAGACCAAAUUAGGGCUGUUCUAGUGGUAAGACGUUUAACACAAAGAUGUGGCUCUCCAGGCAGAAGCACAGCCCAGAAGCAGCCUCUGAGCUAAGAGUAGGCAGGUCAACUAAGGACGGAUGGGAUCACUCAUUCCUUGGGGAGAGUCUGACUUGGUUUCUAUGUGCACAGCCCUCUGUGCUGGGAGAAGCUACAGCUGUGAAGCAACUGGGCAUCUGCUCUUCAAGAGCCUAAGGUCUGGUGGGGCUGAGGACAGGCCUGUCACUAAUCCCAGAACAAAGGCAAGGUUGACCAAGGCUGGGUGAUGCUUGAAUAAAAGGGAUUUUAGGGAGGAUUAGGAGGAGGGGAGGGCAUUUGAGCUCCCUUACUAAGCCUUCCUGAAUGGGAUGGGAAUGGUAAUGGCUUCUGACUGGUCUCUCUGCGUCCCCCUCCCAGCCUUCAUCACUGUUUUCAUCACUGCAGCCAGAGGGAUGCUUUCCCCCACCCCCAUUCCCCAGUUUGUUUUUUAAUUAUAGUUGACCCACAAGGUUACAUUAGUUUCAGGUGUACCAGAGCGAUGCUCUUAAAGUGUGGCUCAGAUCAUGCCACUCAUUUGCUCAAAAUUCUGCAGUGGUUCCCAUUUCAUUCCAAAUAAACGUGGCUCCCGCUCGUUCAGAGUGAAAAAGAAGUCCUUACCAUGGUCUGCAAGGCACUGAGCUGUCCCCUGGUCCCCUCUCCCUCAUCCUUCCUUCUGUUCCCCCACUCACUACCCCGGCCCAAGCCCCACUGGAGGCCUGCUGCCCCCUGAGUUGGCCGGGACGCCCCACGGCGCAUCUCACCUCCUCAAGACUACUCAAACGUCACCUCAGUGAGGCCUGACGUGACCUAUUUUCAAUGGGAACCCCUUUGUUCUGGUACCUUACCCUCUUGAAAUUUGUGUUUCUCCACCACAUCUUUUACCGCCUAACAUGUGGUGUAUUUUUUUUUUUUUAUGUAUUGUAUUUUUAAUUUCUUGCCUGUUUCCCCGCAAUGGAAUAUAAACUCCAUGAAGACACUUAAAAAAAAAUUGACUUUCUUCAAAACUGUAUCCGUCAUGCCUAGAGCCGUGCUAAGUGUUAAGUGUUGGAUGAAUGAAUGAAUGAAUGAAUGAAUGCGUCACCUGACGUGACGCAGGUUUGAGGAAGUGUCCAGGAAGGGCUUCCUGGUAUUCCUAAACACAGUUGCCUGAAAAGUCAUUUGCAAGGAGAGCUCCCUGAACUGCAGAGCUGAGGACCCGGCCCGGGUGGGCAAGGGAGGCGCAGGGGGCCCCAACUGAGGGAGAGGCCUCUGGCUACCAGAACUGUCCGCAGGAUCCAGAUGUCUGAGGUGAGUCGGGAAUCCUUGUCUCUUUGCUCUACCUUUGCCAGACUUCGCUCUCCACACUCAGCCGAGUACCUCCUCAGGCCAAGCCCACCAGCUUCACUUGUGUCCCUUUUGCCGGCAGUUCUCAGAUUUGAUUGAUUGAUUGAUUUUUAUAGAUUUAUUUUUUAUCGGUGUGCAAUUUACCAACAUAUAGAAUAACACCCAGUGCUCAAGUUCUCAGAUUUUAAAUCCAGCCCCUGGGACUCCAGGCCAGCUGAGGCCCUGAAACAAGCUCUUUGCCGCCUCCUUGUGGCUCCUCUAGUAAAGGAACUCUCUUCUGGAAGGCGAGACCGCAGAAGCCAACACAGGGAUACUCUGAACUGGGGUUGGGGGCCGACACCUGAAUCUUCCUGAUCCCAUGGCAACUCUGAAUCCUUGGCAACUGUCUGCCUCUCAUAAACGUUGCCACCAAUGGCAAAGACCAUCCACUCAGCAGAGCUCUGACAGGUGGUGUCCCAACCGGACUCGGGCUUUGGUUGUUGGAGGCGGGUCGUGUUUGGGGAAAGGAUUCGGAGCCACAGUCUGAUCCCGGGGCCCACCUUGACGGGCGCUGAGGCCCGUGGAUUAGUAUGUUUAGCCUCUACGGACUCUGCCUCCUUCCAGGUCACAGCCGGUAAACAGUCGCUGAGGGAGCCACAGCCAGCUCAAGGCGGGGUAACAGAAAACUGCCCAAGCUAUUGGUCUCCAAAUGAGGAAACGUCCUGGAACGCUCCUGGUUAUCCCGUGGACCUCUCAGGCAAGGGUACAGCCGGGCCUCAGGAACCAUCUGGCUGAGUUUCUAAUACGACUGUUUCUUGUUUUCCUAUGAGAUGAAACUGUCAACAAGAAUCUGUCAGACACUCUGCUUGUUUGCCAGAGACCUUGCUAGAGUAUGUCCAGAAAGUCAAAGUCCUCCAUCACCAGAGCAGGUGGAGCCACUAGGCACCUCUAGCACAGUGCCAAGAGCCUACAAAAAUGUACAAAACCUUUAAAAUGUCAUCGGCGGGGCAACCUGGGUGGCUCAGUGGUUUAGCGCCACCUUCAGCCCAGGAUGUGAUCCUAGAGACGGGAUUGAGUCCCAUGUCAGGCUCCCUGCAUGGAGCCUG